rnacentral:rRNA from 1 species
GAUGAACGCUGGCGGCGUGCCUAAUACAUGCAAGUCGAGCGAACGGACGAGAAGCUUGCUUCUCUGAUGUUAGCGGCGGACGGGUGAGUAACACGUGGAUAACCUACCUAUAAGACUGGGAUAACUUCGGGAAACCGGAGCUAAUACCGGAUGAUAUUUUGAACCGCAUGGUUCAAAAGUGAAAGACGGUCUUGCUGUCACUUAUAGAUGGAUCCGCGCUGCAUUAGCUAGUUGGUAAGGUAAUGGCUUACCAAGGCAACGAUGCAUAGCCGACCUGAGAGGGUGAUCGGCCACACUGGAACUGAGACACGGUCCAGACUCCUACGGGAGGCAGCAGUAGGGAAUCUUCCGCAAUGGGCGAAAGCUUGACGGAGCAACGCCGCGUGAGUGAUGAAGGUCUUCGGAUCGUAAAACUCUGUUAUUAGGGAAGAACAUAUGUGUAAGUAACUGUGCACAUCUUGACGGUACCUAAUCAGAAAGCCACGGCUAACUACGUG